rnacentral:lncRNA from 1 species
CCCCAAGCAGAGUUACCGGAAGAUAGCUGACAUGUAUUAAAUGUUUGUGGAAUAAGGAAUACAUGAAGAAGUCUAUCAUUCAAUCAAAGAAAACUAAGUAUCAUUGGAGGUCUUUCCAUUUUGGGGUCCAGUGGGUGUCCUUUGAGUCAAGAGCAUGAUCUUCAAUAGACUUGGGGCCAGAAAUGUGACAUGUGUCUGAAUCCAAUCAGAUCCAGUUAAGAUCCACAAAUGCUAGUCACUGGAAUCUGCAGCCCUUGAAUUAAUUCUGUCCUUAGAUUUGAUAAGCCAAUGUCAGAUUUAUUGUUGUUAUUUAUUAUUCUGUCCCUCCAGGAUGACAUUAGGAACAUACUGUCAAGAAAAGGAUGAUGCGUGUGCUGCAAAAUGCAGGACAAUUCACUUUCCAGGUGGGGUCUGGGGCCUGUGGCUUCUCUGUGAACUUUCUUUGUGUGCUGUGGAAUAUUUUCCAGCUGCAGCCUAUUGUCCUGUGAUUAGACUCUGGGGCUCCACAGAAUCUUGAUGACUAGCAUUUGGAGGAACACACCUUGGGAAAUGGUGAUUCUGUCCAAACUUUUUGUGUUAUGGCUGUGAGAAAUAGACUUACAGAAGGAGAUGUCCGCCCCACAUCUCUAAACUCAUGGGUGGAAACUCAGACUAAGACGGCACCUAGAAUGUGGUCCAGCACAUUGAGAAUAGAGCAGAAGAUGAAAGCUGGAGGGGCUGAGGGGCCUUGGAGGCAGAGUUGGGCUCAACUUCUCAUUCCCUGGGACGAACUGUGCACAGUAGCCUCUGCUCCUCCUUCUUCAGUGAAGACUGCGAUGCCUGUGUUGGGGCUCAGAAACCGAUACCCCAAAAUAUGAUGCUUUGUACAUGCUGAACUGAAACAGGAGCUUUAAGCUCUUUCAGGCCUCCCCACAUCUUACCGUCUCUCCCAAAGUGUAGGAUUCUCUGAAAGUCUUUGUCUGCCUAAAGUCCAGACCUACCAAUGAAGAAAACAAUCACCUCCUGCCCUUUGUCUGAGUUUUCAUGAGCUGAACCCAUAUUGCAGGAAGGAAGGCUAAGAUCUGUCAACACACCUGGGCAGACUUUUGUCACAAACCAUUGUCUGCUCUGAGGACCCAAAAGAGCUUGUCCCAGAUAAUUGCCUGUUCUUUAAGGCUAUUAAAUUCUCCCUGGUAACCAUUUACUGUCCUUCAACGGAAGUCCUCUUCUUCCCCCUCCCAUGACCUGUAUGACCAGCUCCCAUGCCCCCAUUCUUUCUGUAACCUCAAGAUGGUUUAUAAACUUCUGCGCCUCAUUGAGGGGUUGGGUCUUCAUUCUGAGGGCUCCCGUGUCACCUAAAGCUAUGGUCAGAUACAUUUGUAUGUGUUUUCUCCAAUUAAUCUGCCUUUCGUGAGUUGAUUUAUCGUGAAACUUCAGAGGAUGAAGGAGAAAUUUUCCCUUUGCACCUAUGCCUGCCACCCUCACAGGCUGUGUGAAGGUCCUUCUUCAAAAAAUACUGGCUAUUCUUGGCACUGACCUGGCCUCGGCUUUCAGGAAGAGAGGGGAGGCAGGCUCCCUUUCCCAAGACAUGCUGGCAGCCUGAGAGUCAAGGCCAUGGGGUGUUCACAGAUGAGGCCCCCUGAUAUUUACAUGUCUUAGGGAUCAGAAGUGGGCACAGCUGGGGCAGAGCGAGGAAGUGCUAACACCCACCAGGCAUCUGCGAGGGGACGCCCACAUCAAGAAAACCUCAGCACAAGGUUGAGUGUUUCAGCAAACCUCGGGGAGAUUGCACAUUUACUCAUGAAGAGACCACAUGGUGAGGUCAGCCCCAAAACCAGGCCAAUGUCUCUCAAGCCCAACUAGUUUUCAAGACAAUGUCUUGCAACUUAUAGAGUUUGGGGGGAAGGCAGUGUGAAGUUCAGGGGGGAAGGCAGUGUGAAGGUGAGCAUAUCAGUAGCUACCCACCAUGCUGGCUAAUCACUGGGAAAUUCUUUUAUAAACAGCCACAGUCUCUCUCAAGUUUUCCAAAAUUAGAACCUCUCCAAAUUUAUUUUUUUCAAGGCUUCAGAAAUAUCCCAUAAAUCUUUGAAAACGAAAAUUUCUUCUCUCUCCUCAGUCCUCACCCAGGGCUUCUGAUGCUGCCAGUCAAUCCCAAGUCAUGCUUGGUGUUUGGGGACCACGGCAGUGCAAAACCUCUGAGGGCCUGGGGAGAAGGAAUACCUGCAAGACUAAGAAUAAUGAAGGGAUAUAACAGAGGAUAGCCUCACUAUGCUCCUACUCCAGAAAAUUGGAUUAUUGUCUGCAAAGAUUCCUCAGUCUUGUGGACACUGAUGAAAUAUUGUAGACUGGAAUUGAAUCUGGCUUGUUGUCUGUUUGUUUAUUCCUGAGCCUGAUAAUUUAUUUGAACAACUUUGCCUUUCUAUAGUACAUGAUGAUCGGCAAGUUACUAUGACACGCAUUUGUACCCAUUGGACUCUGUGACCAUUCUGAAGAUAAGCUCUUGUCACCCUCCUCAUGGAAAAAAAUGGAGAUUCAUGAAAGUCAAAGGACUGGCCCAGGCUCUCACAGGCAAAGCUGGGAUUCCAACUUGUGUCUAAUGAGCCAGAAGCUCAGAGUCGUUUCCAC